rnacentral:rRNA from 1 species
UACGGAAGGGGCAAGCGUUGUUCGGAAUCAUUGGGCGUAAAGGGCGCGUAGGUGGUUCUGUAUGUCUACCGUGAAAGCGUACGGCUCAACCGUAUUUUGUCGGUAGAAACUGCAGGACUUGAGGCUGGGAGGGGCUGGUGGAAUUCCCUGUGUAGCGGUGAGAUGCGUAGAGAUGGGGGAGAACACUCGUGGCGAAGGCGGCCAGCUAGACCAGUUCUGACACUGAGGCGCGACAGCGUGGGGAGCAAACAGG